rnacentral:lncRNA from 1 species
CAAAUUGUGAUCCAUAUUUUAUCAGAGACAUACAAUUGUGUUUAUAUUAUCUAUGUCUCUGAUUCUGAGAAAAAUAACUUGCUGAAUUUUUUAGUUAAAACAUGUAUACUAUUAAUUAUAAAGGUAUAGAUCAUAAUUUGAUAGAAAACUUUUUGAGUUCUAUGUAUUCAAUCACGAACCCAUCUGCUUUGUUCAAGCAUUAUAGAAGAUCCUAUCUUUGUGCAAUUACAUUUGUACAUCAACAUAUAGAUAUAGGAAGAUGUGACAUGUUUUAUUUGAAUGAGUUGACUUUGUUGAUAUUCAUAUUAUUACAAGGAUGUAUUUUAGCUUUAAUAAUAUGUAUGAUUUAUUUGAUAGUAC